GUCAUCAACAUUAUCCCCUCUGCCAAGCACAAUACUUUACAACUCAAAUCAAACCAUUAAUGAAAACUCAAGUUCAGAGACUAGCCCUAACUUUUUCCCUGGAGAUUUUUCAAAAAUCUCACAGCUGCAGCAGCCUGGAAUUACUCAACAGCCAACAAGUCCACAUGCGUAUGGCAACAAUGUCUGCAGCAACCAAAUAGUCCCAAACGACAGUUACUAUGUGGACUGUUGUGGCUUUGACAUGGAAGGUUACAGUCUAACUGAUCCAAUAGCAGAAAUGAGCUCUUAUGACAUAUCCUCGUCCGAAUGCCAGAUGGCUGAAGCUGAUUGGAUGUCCAAUGACAUGUCAGAUGCUUUGUGGAGCAUGGAUGACAUAUGGCAGCUUAGGGAGUAAGCAUAAGCAGAGAUGAGCACAAAGAUAGG
rnacentral:lncRNA from 1 species